AUCUUCAACAAAACUUGUUUACAUAUUUAGGUAUCGCUGCGGCAGAAGACUGUGUCAGUACGGACACCACAACAUGCGGACAUGUCACGUGUGCUGCCGGAUUUACACCAACAUGUGACACAAAUAUUUGCACGUGUAACCCAGCUCAGGAUCCAUCAGUCUGUUCCAGUUUAAGUGAAUGCAAUGAUUAUUGGUUUGGAAAUCACUGUAGAGAGAGGGAUAGACAUUGCAUAGAUGGUCAUUGUAAAUGCCAACGUCUGCAUUGAUAUGGGAUACAUGAUCCGGAACAUCCAACACCAAGGCUUUCGUAUUCAGUGAAUUUUGUCAAAAACACAAUAAAGAUAUUAAACU